AUAACGUGAUUUCUCGAUAUUUUAAUGCAUUUCUAAAGAAAACGCUUACAAAUUCGCACACAGUUAAUUCUAUCAUCAAUUAUUUGAAAAUGAAGAUUUUCUAUAUUCUUUUCGUCCUUUUUGCUGCACUAAUUGGCACGUCAUUAGUUCAUGCUCAAGCAUGUUCUGAAGAUGAGUGCAAAAAAGCUUGCGAAAGAGCAACUAAAUCUCUUCCAGGAGUUGUAGGAGGAAAAUACUGCAAGGACGGAAAAUGUAGUUGUACUUAAUUGUACAUUUUAAAAAAAUGACUUUCACAAAAAUUGUAUUCUCAAUAAUUUUAUCUAACAAUAUGUGAAGAAAAAAAUUCUGUAUUUAACAUAUAAAAUGAAUAAAUAAAAAUUAAAAACCAA